rnacentral:rRNA from 1 species
UACGAAGGGGGCUAGCGUUGUUCGGAAUUACUGGGCGUAAAGCGCACGUAGGCGGACUAUUAAGUCAGGGGUGAAAUCCCGGGGCUCAACCUCGGAACUGCCUUUGAUACUGCUAGUCUCGAGUCCGGAAGAGGUGAGUGGAAUUCCGAGUGUAGAGGUGAAAUUCGUAGAUAUUCGGAAGAACACCAGUGGCGAAGGCGGCUCACUGGCCCGGUACUGACGCUGAGAUGCGAAAGCGUGGGGAGCAAACAGG